rnacentral:rRNA from 1 species
AUGAGGAGGAUAGUUACUCUAAGCUACAACCACUUGCCAUCUCAUCUCAAGUCAUGCUUUUUGUAUCUAAGCAUCUUUCCUGAGGAUUCUGAAAUCAAAAGGAGGCGUUUGGUGGAGAGAUGGAUAGCCGAGGGGUUUGUUAGAGCAAGGGCUGGGGUGAACAUUGAGGAUGUGGGAGAUGGUUACUUUAAUGAGCUAAUCAACCGUAGCAUGAUUCAACCUUCCAGUGUGAACGUAGAAGGAAUAGUUAAGAGUUGUCGAGUCCUUGAUAUUGUGCGUGAUGUCAUGGUCUCAAUUUCCAGAGAUGAAAAUUUUGUGUAUGUGCCAGAAGAUAAUGUAACUAGUGUCGCACAAGAGACAUUUCGUCAUGUAGCAUACCAUGGUAGUAAGUUCCAAAAUAAUGGCAUGGAUUGGGGCCAUGUCCGGUCAUUAACCAUAUUUAGCGAGAGACCAUUGGAAUCUCCACUUUGUUCACCUAAGGCAAGAAUGCUCAGAGCCUUGGAUCUAGAGAAUUCACAGUUUGAAGUCACACAAAAAGACAUCAGUAACAUUGGAUUGCUAUGCCACCUUAAGUAUGUGAAUUUAUCUAAUCCUCAAGGAUGUUCAUAUAUUUAUAAAAUUCCUAGAUCCAUAGGAAAAUUACAAGGCUUGUGUACUUUGAACAUAAGAAACAGUUAUAUUACCGAAACGCCAACUAAGAUAAGUAAACUCAAGAGUCUACACAGUCUCCGUUGUACCAGAAAUAUUUCCUGCGAACGCUUUGACUUGGAAGGCCUCAGGAAUGCUUGCUGA